GCCUUCGUGGUGUAACGGUAGCACGCUUGGCGCGUAUUCAAGAGGUGCAGGUUCGAGUCCCGGCGAAGGCA
rfam:Stegodyphus mimosarum contig97155, whole genome shotgun sequence.